CUGUGUGCAGGCAGCGCUCCUCCUCCACUUACUUUAUGCACACAGCAAUAACACUACAUAAUACGGGGCAGUAAGAGCUAACCAAACACAGCUCGGUUCACUAAGACCAUGAGCUUAUGAACUUCACACUGGCUAGAUAUGGGAAGGAGCUGGACUGGUCGGAUCGCUACUGCCAGGUGACAUUAGCAUGGAGAAAGUAAAGGGGUGCAUUAAUUCCAGUCUUGUCAUACUCUGCCCCAUGAAUGGAGUUUGUAGCCUGCAAGAGAAUGAAGCUACCAAACAGGAUAGAGAAAUUUUAAAUUCUUGCUCAGAAACUUGAAGUUACAGACCAAGGUGAAUGUCUGGAGAGCUGAAUAUAUAAUCUUUAUAUCAUGAAUACGACCAAUGACUCCAGCUCCAGUCAAAUUUUGCAGACCGUCAAAGCGUCCUUCUACCUGAUGGACUUCCUCAUCUGCUCCGUAUUCACCAUCUUGAUUACACAAACUGUGUGGAAAGACAGUGUCCUGAAAAAGGAAGUGCGAUACUUCUUCUUGUGCCACCACUUGAUGUAUUUGACGUUUUUCUUUUGUCUAGGAACUGUAUUUAGUUAUUUUCGAGCUUUCCAGGUCAAUGCCCCAGUCCUUGUUUGCUGGUCAAUUUUUGCAGUGCAGAUAAUAAUUGGAAGAGCAGUGCUAUUGACUCUUGUCUUAAUGGCUUUGAACACUUGCAUAGCUGUUUGCUGGCCUCUUAAAUAUUUAACAUUUGCUCAUACUGUAAAAUAUAAACUAAUUGUUUGUUUAUGGAUUAUUGCCUUUCUGGACCCUACAGUGUCAGUUGUCUAUGAAGGUAUAAUGAGAGGCCACCAGUAUAUUGUUCAACUGGAUUCAACUUGCCCUACUACUUUAUCAAGCACAUCGUCAAGAAUAGCUGGAGUAGCUUUCAUCAUUAUAUUAGUAAUACUUAUCACAGGAUCCUACAUUAUUAUGUUCAGAGAAGGAAAACGAGCUGGGCAUUUUACAAAAUCCAACCACCAAGCAAGAAGAACCAUCUUGAUUCAUGGACUACAGGUUGCUCUACACAUCAUUCCAACACUGAUGAACAUUUGGAUAGGUGGUAUUCCACAUUAUAUAAUUUUCGAUUUGACUAAUUUUAUUAUUUUCUCUUUAGCUCAGUGUCUUAGCCCUGUGAUAUAUGGACUGAGAGGUAAAGAACUGAGACACAAGGUUAUGAAAAGACCAUUUUGCUGUGGACCAAUUGACAAAUACUGUUCUGGAAGUUUUGAAAAUUAACACAACACACAGAACUGAAGUCUAAAGGAAAAUUAUACUGUACAGUAUAUAUGUAUUUCAUAGUGCAAUAGAACCGGUAUGACAGGUACAGAACCUUCCAUUAACACCGAUGUCUGAUCAUAUCCCUAGUUUAAUUCAUUGUACAGUUCUAAACUGAGAAUUGUGGCACUCUAAAAUGUAUUGUUUGAGUGAUAACAAUAUUGGAGGUCAGUUACAAAAGAAAACCAAAUGCAGAGCAAAUCUGGAUGUUUUCAUGUCUUCAGUGAUUUUCUAUACUUUGGGGUUGCUUUCACAUAUGGAAGCAGGGCAGAAAACUAGACAGAUGAAGAAGAAAAAACUUUAUUAUAGAAGUCCAACCUUCAUAGAAACACUAACAUAACCAUUCAUAAUGUCUAAUCAAGACAAACCCUUUACAUAUUUCCUGCAAAGGCA